AGUUGAAGCAUAUUGUCAUCCACCUUUUACAAGGAAUGUGGUUCAAUAUUACACACCAGCUAGCUGGGCAGUUCGAUAGGGUACGCAACAGCUAACUAGAGAGUUUGAUUGGCUUUUACCCUAUGUUCAGAAACUGCUUGAUCAUCUCCUGUUCAAGAUGGGUCCUACUAAAAUGAAGAUUCAAGAGGUGAUCUUCAUCUAAGCGUCCCAGGCCUAGAGAACCAAGAGGAAGUCCUGCAUUAGG